GGUGCUGGAGGUACAAUGCCUCAGUGGCCUCAUAGCACAUCUGACACCUAAGCUUUGCAUUGUGGAAAGCUUCUCCUUAGGGCACAACAUCUCACUGGCCCCUAUUUACAGGACUACCCUGCAGCUCUCCUGAAGGUUCCAAGUCCUCUCUGAAGGCACAAGUGGGUGAAGAAGUCAGGAUACCAAAUGUCGCACCAGAAAACCAAGCAGAAACCAGAGUCCAGGAGAGAGCAUCUGAACAUGUCAUCUCGACUGCUUCUGAGUUCAGAGGAGGCAAAGUGUUCUUACAUCUUGUCCACAGAUUGGCUGAGAUGUGACUAACCAGCAGGUCUUCAAACUGCCAAUCGUUGGGCCACCCGACAUUAUACCGGCUCUCCUAAAAGUACGUUAUGUAGCCCUAAUAACCUAGAGCUCCGUGAGGACUGACUUCACUGCAGUUACAGUGAAAAAACAAAUCAAGAUGUAGCAGCAAAGAGAAACUAAAGCAUUUGGAAUAUUUAUAUUCUUCUCUUAAAGAACUCCAAAGGAAAUCUAACUCAUAAUCCAUAGCUCUGCCAGAAUUUUCCUGGAGGGUGUGGUAGAGAAGAGGAAGAGGGGCUAUGAAGACUUAUGCAUUAGUCUUUUUUAUCUAUUGUAUUGCAUAAUAAAUUGGUCUA